UGCCCAGUCCUCACCAGAGAGACUCUGAC
rnacentral:piRNA from 1 species